UACGUAGGGCGCAAGCGUUGUCCGGAAUUAUUGGGCGUAAAGAGCUCGUAGGCGGCUUGUCACGUCGGGUGUGAAAGCCCGGGGCUUAACCCCGGGUCUGCAUCCGAUACGGGCAGGCUAGAGUGUGGUAGGGGAGAUCGGAAUUCCUGGUGUAGCGGUGAAAUGCGCAGAUAUCAGGAGGAACACCGGUGGCGAAGGCGGAUCUCUGGGCCAUUACUGACGCUGAGGCGCGACAGCGUGGGGAGCAAACAGG
rnacentral:rRNA from 1 species